ensembl:processed_transcript
UGUGUUGGGGAACAGCAACAUUUUAUUUUGAGCUGGUUUCAUCACUGAGGAAGAAGAUUUUUGUGUUGGGUUUGUAAUGGGGGAUCCUGCCAUCCGACUUUUAAGGCUCUCUUUAGCGCUUCUCAGUCUCUGUCUACAUGGCCAGAUCAAAACUGUUUAUGGCAGUGAACCUUAUCCUGGGUCUUAUAAUGUUGGAUUUCCCAUGAUGGAUGGGCUUAGACCAUGGAAUCUGUAUGACCAAGGAGGUUUCACUGGGCCUCUAAUACCCAACAAUAUGACCUACACUUCAGUUAAAGGUGUAUAUGACAGUGCAAGCUAUAAUCCUCAAACUGGCUCUUCAGGUUUUGGCGUGGUGCCCAAUUUAAAUAAGCCUGAUUCUGUGUCCAAUACUAGAGGUCAACCCCAAGGCACUCCUGUAUCUUCAGUCAAUAGUGAAAGUCUUGUUUCUAGUUCUGUGUCCACUGAGGUCGAUACAACAGGAAGCAAUGAGUCUCUACCCACUUCAGCGUCACUGCAGACUACUCAAACCUGGUACCAGUCUUUGCCCUCACCCAGUGGUUCACAGUCAGCACAAGUCAGCUAUCAGUCUGUUCCCCAAUCCAGUGGUCUGCAGUCAACACCAACCUGGUUCCAGUCUAUGUCCCAGCCUAAUACUGCACA